rnacentral:misc_RNA from 1 species
AUUCUGGGCAAAUUUUGGUUAUGGCAGUUUUAGGUUACCAACUUGGGGUGGCCAAAUGAUUUGGUUAAUGACAUAAUUUGGGUUUGUGUUCUUUAUGAAAGUUUUAGGUCUACAUCUCAACUGUCCACUGGAAAAAUUUUAGGUCAUUUAGACCUGCAUAGCUCAAGUUAUGGUACACUGUUCAUUUGGUCAGUUUGUUUAGGACAGCCUGCAAUUUUCUCACUUUGGUCAAUUUGUUCACUAGG